rnacentral:rRNA from 1 species
UGACCUACCCGAUCGAGAGCGGGUUGAACACUUGGUUAACAGGUGGCCUUAAUCCGCCAUGAACAUGUUUAUUCCGCCAAUUGGCAUAAAGAGUGAAACGCGCUUUCGGGGUGUCCGCUGGAUGGAUGGACCCCCCUGGGUGCAUUAGGCGUACUUGGUCGAGGUUACCGGCUCACCAAGGCCACCGGAUGCAUAGCCCGACCUGAGAGGGGUGAAUCGGCCACACUGGGACCUGAGACACGGCCCAGACUCCUACGGGAGGCACAGUAGGGAAUCUUCGGCAAUGGACGAAAGUCUGACCGAGCACGCCGCGUGAUGAAGAAGGUUUUCGGAUCGUAAAACUCUGUGUUGUUAGAGAAGUACAAGGACGUUAGUAACUGAACGUCCCCUGACGGUAUCUAACCAGAAAGCCACGGCUAACUACGUGCCAGCAGCCGCGGUAAUACGUAGGUGGCAAGCGUUGUCCGGAUUUAUUUGGGCGUAAAGCGAGCGCAGGCGGUUUGCUGUAAGUCUGAUGUGAAAGCCCCCGGCUCAACCGGGGAGGGUCAUUGGAAACUGGGAGACUUGAGUGCAGAAGAGGAGAGUGGAAUUCCAUGUGUAGCGGUGAAAUGCGUAGAUAUAUGGAGGAACACCAGUGGCGAAGGCGGCUCUCUGGUCUGUAACUGACGCUGAGGCUCGAAAGCGUGGGGAGCAAACAGGAUUAGAUACCCUGGUAGUCCACGCCGUAAACGAUGAGUGCUAAGUGUUGGAGGGUUUCCGCCCUUCAGUGCUGCAGCAAACGCAUUAAGCACUCCGCCUGGGGAGUACGAC